rnacentral:lncRNA from 1 species
GUGAGCCUCAUAUUUGCCAUUUUAUUUUUUUUAUUUAUUUUUUUUUAUUUUAUUAUUUUUUAAAAAAAUAUUUAUUUAUUUAUUUAUUUUAGUUUUUUAGGCGGACACAACAUCUUUGUUUGUAUGUGGUGCUGAGGAUCGAACCCGGGCCGCACGCACGCCAGGCGAGCACGCUACCACUUGAGCCACAUCCCCAGCCCCAAUAUUUUGUUUAUUUUUAUUGUUUGCUACUGGGUAUUGAACCUAGUAGCAAACUAAUAGUACUGUGCCUAAUUACUGGGCCACAUCCCCACUCCUUUUGUUUUUUUAUUUUGAGAUAGGGUCUUGGUAAGUUGCUUAUAGCCUUGCUAAAUUGCUGAGGCUGGCCUCAAACUUGCAAUCCUCCUGUCAGCCUCCCUAUUUGCUGGGAUUAGAGGCAUGCAUCACUAUACCCAGCUUAUAUUUGCCAUUUAAAAGCUUGUCAUAUUAUUCCUUCAAACAGAUAGGCCAGGGUUUAUUCGUCCACCUGUCACUUGGAACCUAGAUAGUUCCCACUUCGUGCUAUUAUAGAUAUUAUCAACCCUUUUUAAAACACGGUUUUAAAAUAAUCUUUGGAAAUAUUUCCUUAGGACAAAUUGCCAGAAGUGGAUUCAGGAGCCAAAAGACAGGAAUAGGUUUUCCUGUUCCUGUUACUUAAGGUUAAGUCAUCCUGAAAAAAGAUAAAACCAACUCACAGAGAUUGUCCAUGUAUUCACUUCUGGUCUGAAAUAGGAAAGGAACACGGAAACAGUGCCAGCGAGAUGACAAGGCGCUCUUUGCUGAGCCAGGCAGCAUUUGCUGGAAGGGGCUGGACUUUUUUUCUAUGGGAAUAUUCUCCACUGAUAUCCCAAUCCUCUGAUUGUCUGUUUAUGUAGGGCUGCCCCACCCCGGCCUCAGCUGCCUUUGCAGGAAUUGUGCAGUUGCAGUUAAUCCAGAGCUGGGCAAGUUCUAGAAUCUCGAAUGAAUUCCCAAGAGUCCAAUGCCUGUGAUGGGGCUGGGCAUGGGGGGGGGGGGCUGUGGUGUGUGUAAUAAAUGUUUACCUGAACUAGGCAGCGUGGCCUGCUGGAGGGAGCUCUGUACCAGCCAGGCAGGCUCUGCUUCAACCUGCUGACUCAACAGGUACUUCCCCCACCUGGAUGACAGAGAUAUUAUGCAAUUUUAGAUAACAUUCCUUUGACUCGGAACUUUGACUCUUGAUAAAAUAUGGGACUUCUGGGAGAGGGCACAGUACUAUUUAUAUCCCAGGUGAAGUGUUUUACUAAAGCUGACUCUGAGAAUAGACCUAGUUGUGGGUAGAAGAUACAAAGCAUCAUGAAGAUGCUGGAAAGCAAGUGAAGGAGCCCAGGAAGUGGGUGAAGCUCUGAGCUUGGCCUUCUGUAGUUCAUAAAAUCUCCUAAAACCUUCUCUAGUCUAGGAGGACAGCGCACCUGGGUGGGAGGUAUAGACAAGCCCUCCUGGUUGUCUGGUAUAGACAGAGACUUAGGAUGGACAUUCCCUGCUGGGUUUGAGAACUGAGCUGCAGAUUCCAGUAGAUUUGCCCCAGAAAACCCAUCCCAGCCAGAUACCAGUGAUUGGCCUUCACAGUUAUCAUCAAAAUGAUGCUGUGGUUUCUGCUUUGCUGUGACUCUGAAAGGGGAAGCAUCACCGUGAUUUAAUCUUUUGGCAUCUGUUUAACCAAAUUAAAGUACAACUGGUUGCUAACAGGGUAUGUAAUACUUAUAAAAUAGUAAAAAUACAUCUAGCCCAGCACAGUGACGCAUGCUGUAAUCCCAGUGGCUCUAAAGGCUGAGAUGGGAGGAACUCAAGUUCAAAGCCAGCCUCAGCAGUUUAGUGAGUCCCUAAGCAAUUUAGCAAGACACUGUCUUAAAACAUAAAAAGACCUGGGAAUGUUACUGAACGGUUAAGCACCCCAGAUUCAAUCCCCAGCACUUAAAAAAAAAAAAAAAGAAUACAUAUAGUUGAUUCCUUUUUCACAGAUUUAAUCUUUAGCUCAGUUCAGUAUAGUAGGUUGUGGCUCAGAUCAAGAUCUCCUCUCAGAUUCUAUCUCCUUUUCUGCUUCCUCUCUUUUGAGGGAUUCUACCCAUUCUAUUUUCUCCCCCCUAGGAUAUACCAAGCUUGUUUUUGUCCUAGAGGCAUCCCCUCCACUGCUCCCUCUCCUUGACCUUCCCAAGGCUGUCUCCUCCUCACAGGCUUCUCAAUUCUGGGCACCUUUUCCAAGAGAACUUCUGGUAAAAGUGGCCACUCUGGUAAAAGUGACAUGCUGCUCUGUGGGGUUUUCUAUGCUAUUAUCAUCAGCCUGUGUUUGCUUCUUAGCUCUGUCUUUUCCUGAAAUUGUUGUUUUACAGACAUUUACAUAAUAUAUUGUCCAUCUCCCUAACCAGAAUAUAACAUUCAUGAGAACAGCAACAGGCUUUCUGCUCUCUGAAGAAUGGAGAACAGUUCCAGCACCUACAGACAGAGGAAUUCAUCCAAGAAUUCCAGGCAGCACUGCCCUCGCUCUUCUUCCCUUUGCUUCCUCCUCCUAAGUGAGACAUAUAUAUCUCUCCCGAUUGAGAGCCAGGCAGGGUGGGCCUGGGCUGCGUGCAGAUGGGGACUCUUGCCUAACUUAGCAACUUCGCUUAUGGCAUGAUUUGGGCCACCUCCUACCCAAAUCUCCAGAAGUAGCAGACUUGGUCUGUGGGCCUCCAGGAGCUGAGCGGGGCCCACUGGGAAGAAGUUCAUAGAGACAGACUUUAGUUCAAUAUAAAAAGAACUUUUGGGUGGGGCCCAGAGGAGGCAGAAUGGUCAUGUUGCCACUUUCCUGUGCUGGCUCCCCACUUUGUGACCAUGGUCCAUUCUCCACUCUCUGCCUCUGCAUCGCCUGCCACCAGCCAGCUCAUGGAGGUCAGUGGUCCGGAAUGAUGCUGCAGCACAGAUACGGGUGAUUCUGCAUCACUGAGGGAACUAGACCAGAUGGUCUCUAUGGGCCAUUUUGUCUCCUGUGUCAGGGGUUUGGCUCAGAACCAUUCAUUUUUAAUCCAUGUUCUGUGGACUGCAGGGCCUCCAGGGAGAAAAGGGUGACGGACUGGAUUAAGCUGUUAAUGGUGUGCCAAGGUUAAAGCUUGGGGACCCAAACGCCAGAGAACUGGUUGGUGACCACAUCCGCCCACCUGCUGUUUGCUUAGCACAGAAAGUUGAUCAUCUGCAUCAGGAAUGUGGCUCAUAGCAGUUCCAGGCCUGGUUCUGCUGCCAAGUUAUUGUGUGAGCUUAAAUAUAUCCUUUCCUUCUCUUCUGGAAGACUGAGAAUAUUUGGGUUAGACCUCGUUGCUUUGUCUCUUCUGACUUUAACAUCUAGGAUUCUAUCAGUGAACCUCAAACAUGAAAAAAUCAGGCCUUUUGCAAGGGCUCAUGCCUAGGUUCUAUUCUUCAGCAGCUCAUCUUUCUUUGUUGAUAGCCUGGAACAGAAUCAAGACCUCUAACCUCCAUCAUCAGUAGCUCAAGGCUUCUCAGAGUGUUUGAGUGUCUAUUCACAGCUCUGACUGGGCAGAUGACACAGCUAUGGACAGAUCACACACUUGUGUCCAAAGGUGUCCAUCAUAAGAGAUGUGUCUAGCAGCUCCCCGGAACCAGACUCUUAAUAUGGAGGGCAAGAGGGGGAUUUUGCAUAUCCAGGUGAUAGUGCAGUGAAUCCUUGGGCAGCACUGAUGACAAGGAGUCUUUUCAUGAUACCGCAUGGUCAUUUCAUGAUGUUUCAGUCUAUUAUUCUCCCCUGAAACUCAUCUUAAUUUAUCUUUGGCACAACCUGAAGGGAGAAUAGAGAAGCCUAACCCUGUAUUCUGCAACCAAUCUCUGACCUGAACCAGGUCUUUUUCUUUCACCUUGUAGGUUCCUGUAGGAAUGAAAGGCUCAAGCCAAUGUGAUAGUACACAUCUGUAAUCCAGCGGUUCAAGAGACUGAGGCAGGAGGAUUGCAACUUUGAGGCCAGCCUCAGCAACUUAGUGAGACCCUGUCUCAAAAAUAAAAAAGGGGUGGGGAUGCAGCUCAGUGGUAGAAUGUCCCUGAGUUCAAUCCCCAGUAUGUGAGGGUGGGAGGCUCAAAAUGCCCAGUGCUUGAGGAAACAUUUCACAAGCAUCUUCUCUGAACUAACUCCAACGCUCUAACUUGGCAAGUGGAGAUUAAAACUGAACUUAUUAACUUUUUAAUGCUUUGUACCUCUCUCCCUCCCCACACACAAACACAAACAGGGUAUAGAUUCUUAGAGGAAUAGACUUUUCAUGACACAUAUAUCUUUUAGAUCACUGUUAACAGCAUGGAUAUACUGGCUUUAAAGGAAUAUAUUUCUCAUGUUUAAAAAAAAAUUGAAUACUUAAAAAAAAAAAAAAAAAGGACCAGACAUAGUCCCUAAUCUCAAGGAUUUUGGAUAAAUCAUUUUACCUCUUUGAGUCUCAAUUCUGCAAAAUGGGUUAAACUGAUCCUGUCUAAGGUUGCCAAAUUUAGUGAAUAAAAUUACAGGAUAUCUAGUUAUAUUUGAACUUCAGAUAAAUGAUGAAUGAUAUUUUAAUAUAAGUAUGUUCCAUGCAAUACUUGGGGCAUACUUAUACUAAAAUUAUUUAUCAUUUAUCUGAAAUUCAAGUUUAACUAGGCAUCUUGCAUUUUUAUCUGGCAGUCCUAUCCCUGUUCAAACUAGGUUAGGACUUUAAUGAAUAACAGAAGGAAUAAUUUGUGGAUUAAUAAUGAAUGGAAGUCUUUAUGGUUUACAGAGUUCUGUGUCAGCAGGAAGGGUUUUGGUUGCGUGACUUUGAUGAAAAGGGGUCUCUUGCAGGCCUGAGUCUGCAAGACAUGAGAACCUGGAGACUCCCAAGACAUGAGAAAAAUCAAUGCUGCAUCCAUAUGAAUUCCUUUUAUUCUGGGACAGGGGAUUCAAAACCUAUGGUAUAAGGGCUGGGGUUGUGGCUCAGAGAUUAGAGCAUUUGCCUUGCAUGUGUGAGGCACUGAGUCUGAUUCUCAGCACUGUAUAUAAAUAAAUGAAUAAAAUAAAAGUCCAUCAACAACUUUAAAAAAAAAAACUCUAAAAACCUAUGACAUAGGGAGGACCCUGGAGCAGCACGUGAGAAAACCAUAGGAUUUUGGCUCAUAGGAAACUCAAAACAGGACCCCUUAAGGGUAUCAACUACAUCUGAGUUUUCCCACUACAUCCUCGGAAGUACAGUGUCUAGAAUGCUGUCGCUACUCAGACUCUCCCCGCAAGGUUGAAGGGGAUGCAAUGGACUGGAUUCGAGGGUUUUGACACCAGAGUCCAGGUAGGAGCUGGAAGAAUGGGAAGCAUUUGACCCAGACCAUGUGGACAUAGGGUCAUAGGCCAUAGGCUUCCCAUCCAGCGUGGAUUUUGCUUUCUGGAAGGUGUCACUUCCAACCAUGGUGGCUUUUUGCUUUGGUAGACAGCCCCAAACAGAUAUUCCUUUUCAAUCCCUGCCCUGUCUAGAGGAGCAGAAGGCCACCAGCAUCAGUUGUUCAAAAUGUGAAGGUUGGAAAAGCCCUGGGAAUCAUCAGUCUUCUGUCCUUGCAUCUUAGAGAUGGGGAAGCUAAAGACAAAGCUGGGGAAGGACAUACCCACGGCCAUGUGAAAGCUAGGGGUGGAUCUGGGACUGGAGCCCAUACCUGCUGUUUUGCAGCUCUGGGUCAGGAUCACAGCAACCCAUUCUCUCCUAGGAUCCCCUCUGUUGGGCAGUCCCCAUCCUGCUACAAGCAAGUCACUGCCCUCCAAGGCCAAUGAUCCCUUCUCACGGGGCAGGGGGGACAGCUAUUUAAAAUCAUGAUGAUAAUCUGCUUGGGGGACAGUAUUUUCUAAUUUGCAAGAUCCAUUCAGGUACCUCCAUGUCGAUUUUCUUCCCUCUCAUCACAUCCCACUGCCUCACACCCUACAUCUUCUAUACUUGCUGUCAGCUCCAAACGUGCAGUGCCUGUCCCACAGGCAGGCAGUGUGGCUCUGCCACAACAAGUUAUGUGAUCUUGUACAAGUGAUGGAACAGAGGUUAACUGUGCCUCAGUUUCCUCAUCCAUAAAGUGGGGGUAAUAAUAACGGUAUGCCUCAUAGGAUUUUUAUGUGAGAGUUGACUAAUUGUGCCUCUGAAAGCACAUGCUCAGGGCUUAAUGCAUCAGCUCCUACUGUUAGACUACUACUGUAUUUCAGAGCUCUUCUUAUUCCUUUUCCUCCUUCAAGACUCAACUCAACUUUCCCUGCCCUAGGAAGGUUUCUUUGACCCUUUCCCUUCAGUGGAGUUAGAUGUUCUUUAGCAUUUAUUGUACUUAUUUAAAUAUAUUAUAUUUGCCUAUUUUCUGGUCUGUCUCCCUGACUUAGCUAUGAUCACCAUCCCCAUUUUUAUCCCCAAUGCCAAGCAUAAGAUCAGGCAGGUGUUUGUGCUUAAUGAUAUUUGUUGAAUGGAUGAAUGAGUGAGUGAGUGAGUGAUCCCUUUGAUUCCCAAAUCUUAGCCAUUCUUGAUGUCUAUCUCUCACCCCACAUCCAAUCCAAUAGCACGUUUGGACAAUCCCACUUCCAGAACAGAUCCUGAAUCUGCCUCCAGGCCAGUCUAUGCCACCAUCCUCUCACUGCUGGCCCUCUCCGCAUCUGUGGCUUCUGAGUUUCCAUCCCUGCUGCCCUCAUCCUCUCUCAUCCCCCUGCCUAAAACUCUGCCUUCAAUUCUUAUGAAUAGAAUCUAGUCUUCUUGUGGAGCUGUGGAGCCCUGCAGUAUCUUACUGGUACCUCUCUCUCCUGCAUUUCACAUGCUUCACUCAAUUUCAUCUCUUUAUCCUCCUCAAAAUCUCACACUUGCUGUUCCUUCUUGUUUUGCAGAGUUGACUCCUCUUCCUUCUCCUUUUUCUCCUCCUCCUCCUCCUCCUCCUCCUUCUUUUCUUCUUCUUCUUUUUUUUUUUUUUUUUUUAAUUUUGCAGUUCUGGGGAUUGAAGCCAGAGUCUCAUGCAUGCUAGGUAAGUGCUCUACCUCUGACCUACAUCUGCAACCCUUUCUUUUGAUUUCAGGUGGAAUAGUACAUCCUCAAAGAGACUUUCCCUGACCAUGCUGAGGGAAUGUCUUUCUGCAUCAUAAUACCCCUUUAAUCUCAUUUGUAGUAUUUAUCAUAAUCCAUAAAUAUCUUGAUUGUUUACCCAUUUAUUCAUUAAUUGGUUUAUCUCGCUUGCUAUAUUGUAAGCACCGUAAGUGCAAGUCCCUUACUUUGUUGUCUUGUUUACUAGAAUGUCUCUUGGUCAGAGCUUAAUACCUUUUUGCUGAAUGAAUGAAUGAAUCCUCCUUGAACAUAAUAGGUAGAGCAGGCAUUAGAUGCAGAUUUUACAGAUGACAAAACUGGAGUUUAGAGAGGUCGAUUCUUGCUGUAGGUAGCAUAGGCUGGACAUGGUACAGCUAGGUCCACAAGAUCAUGGACUUUUCCCAUCAGAACAGAAAGGAGAUGGACACUGUGCUGGGAAUCCAGCUUGGUAGAUUCAUAGACUAGUUCCCCAAUGUGGGACUGGAUGAGUAAGAUUCCAAAGCUCCUGCUUCUUAAAGAGUUAGUGCUGCCAGCGUGAGGCGAAGGAUUACAUCCAGUUCCAAAUUCCAGUCUGCACUUGAGGCAUUGCACACACCCAACAAACACCCAAUGAUCAUAAGAACAGUGCAAUGAUUGUUUGAGAAAGGAAAUGAGACCCACAGGCUUGAUCUCAACCUUCUUCAGAAUUUGUUCUAAUUUGGGCUUGAUGGAAUGAGAAAGACAUUUCUAGUUUCCUUACAUGAAUGUGGCCUAAUUUGGAAGAUUUUGUCAUUCCCAAGGCCCCCACUGCUGCUUGAGAGCAGACCUUGAUUAUUGUCAUUAUUUAAAAUACUGCCUUCACCAUUGAUAAUAGGCUGGCAGCAGGGUACCAUUUCUGUGAUUCUAGGAGGAAAGUUCCUGGAGGGGAUGCCCAGUGACAUAAAGAAAGCUCUGGAACAGAAGUCAGAGGGUGGGAAGGCCCAUGGUGUCCAGCUGGUAGGCUGGAGACCUCUAACUGGCCCUUAGCUGCCUCUUACGUAAGGAAGGAUCUGGGUAUGAUAGUGGCUUGUACUCAGAGGGUUAGGGUCUGAUCCUGGUUCUGUUGCUAGUUUUCAGUGUGAGAUCUUGUCAGGGUCUUUUCCUUCUGUGGUUCUGAAUGCAAUUGUAGGGGCUGAUGCUUGUGUCCCCAUGCCAUCCCUAUAGUUGCUCUUUGUGUGGUCUUUUUUGGGGAAACUUACUCCCUUAAAAUUUGGUUUCCUUACCACCCAGCCCUCAGAAGCCAGUAUGAAAUUGACAUGGCUACCUUAACAUAUUUCCAACAAAGGGCAUAGUAGUCCCUAAGGCCUGCUUCUCAGGGCACUUCGGUAGAAAGAGGGGUCAAGUGUCCACUCCUGCCAAGCACUCUCUCAGCCCUGUUGCUGCCCUCUGUCAAGCAUGUGCUCCAAGGGAGGCUCUUGGGAUGGGGGUGGGGAGGCACUGAGGGUAUGAAAGGAGGGGAGUAUGACUCUUCUGAGAGUCUAGAAGUUCUGAGCAUAGAACCCCAAGGACACUGUACCCUCCUGGCCUUGACCCAUUAUGUGGAAAGACAUGUAGGAAAAUCAGAUAUGUACCAGUGUCUUUUGAGUGUUUUCAGUGGGGCAGACUUUGGCUCAAUGGUUUACAUACAUUGUUUUAUUUGACCUUGAACUCUGUGAGGUAAAUAUGAGGAUCCCCAUUUCUACAGAGGAAGAAAUUGAAACACAGAGUUGAAGUUACUUGUCCAAGGUUAUACAACUAGGAUGAUCAGGAUUGAGCCCAGCAGGCUUUACUGCUAAAUUAUUGUCUCUGCUAAUUAACAAUAAUGAUAAAAAAUAAUUAAAAUGGAGGAAGUGCAGUUAGCAGCUGUGGAAAGCACUUGAGGUCUAAAGUUCUACUUAUUAGCUUAGUAACUAUGGGCAAGUUAUUUGACUACUUUGAGUGAUAAUAUACUUGCUUAUAAAUUAGAGGUAAUUUCUUCUUCUACUUCACAGUAUAACAUUAGAGGAGACCAUGUAUGUAAAGUGUUUCAAGUUGAUGCCUGAUACAUUAUUAAUUGCUUGUUGUUACUGUUUCUAUCACUACUGCUGCUAUUGCUACUACCUUCUCUCCACCUUGUUCCAAAGCUCAAGAGCUCUGUUUGCUGUGCACCUGUUAGUGAUCCCUUUUAUUACAAUGAUAGAAACCUAAGAGAAUGAGUUAUUUGUGAACCUUCAACCUCAUUCCUCCCCCAAAUGGUUCACAUUCUUUGCUCUACAGCCAACUCUGAUGAAGGGCCAGGGUUUGACUUGGUGCCCACUGUGAAUGACGUCCUCCAUUAGAUCUUCAAGAACUGCAGCAAAUGCUUUUCUGGUCUUAUUUUAGCAUCAGGGAGACUUUGAAGCAGAAUUUCAAUAUUUAGUUUUCUCACUUGGAGAUGGUGCUUGCAAUUAAUGUGGGUUUGUAGCUUGGGUCUUUCUUUUCAUCUUAAGAGAUGCCAGGGGGUAGAUCAACGAUGUGGUUGUCUGACAUAUCCUGAGAUUCAAAUGAGUCCUGUUGUUGGUUAUUACUAAAUCUGAGAGUACUGUGUACUCGUUGUAAAAAAAAUUUGGAAAAUGAGGGCAAAUAUGAAGGAGAAAAAUGUAAAAUACCCAUAAUGCAAUCACUCUGAAAUAAAGAAUUUAAUGUUUU